rnacentral:lncRNA from 1 species
CUUUUGGUCAUGUAGAGUACACUGAGUAUACAACACAAUAAUAACAGCUGCUCUUUCCAUGACAUAGACUGACCAGGUAAACGCUAUGAUCCCAUAUUCAUGUCACCUGUUAAAUUCAUGUCAAUCAGUGUAGAUGAACAGGAGGAGACAGGUUAAAGAAGGAUUUUCAAGCCUUGAGACAAUUGAGACAUGUAUUGUGUAUGUGUGCCAUACAGAGGGUGAAUAGACAAGACAAAAGAUUGAAGUGCCUUUGAACAGGGUAUACUAGUAGGUGCCAUGCGCACCGGUCUGAGUGUGUCAAGAACUGCAAUGCUGCUAGGUUUUUCACACUCAAUAGUUUCCCGUGUGUAUCAAGAAUGUUCCACCUCCCAAAACACAUUGAGCCAACUUGAUACAACUGUGGGAAGCAUUGGAGCCAACAUGGGCUUGCAUCCCUGUGGAAUGCUUUCGACACUUUGUAGUAGACUGUAAGAAUGUACUCCCAAUAACUGAAGGCCUCUCCUGACUGAUAACAAGUCCUGUGAUAGGCGUGGAGGAGUACCGGACUCAAGUUGGGACGAUAAGACAACCUGCACAGCCCCAGAGAUGUAUUGUUCAUCCUAGACACAGAGUGGGGGCUGUUUGGGAAGGGGGUCCUAGUCAGAGGUUAUAAAUGUAUCACCUAGCCUGAGCUUUCUUUGGUAUCCGUCUGGAUUAUUGAACCACAAGUUAUUUACUGUACUCACUUAAAAACUCAUGCCCUCUCCUCCCUCUAAGUCUCCCAGACUUUCCCCGUCCCCAGGUGCCUGCUGGUCCAUGGUCAGAGCAGCACAUUAUCCCCAGGUGCCUGCUGGGCCAUGGUCAGAGCAGCACAUCGUCCCCAGGUGCCUGCUGGGCCAUGGUCAGAGCAGCACAUCGUCCCCAGGUGCCUGCUGGGACAUGGUCAGAGCAGCACAUCACUAAACAUGCCACUCGGUUGUCAGCUGUCAGCAGGCUGUUCCCUAAGGAAGGAGAAAAUGGUGAAGGCAUUCAAAGGCCGGUUAUUAUUCUCAUUUUUACUAACUACUGUCGUGUCUUUGGCUAUGCCGGAUUAAGUGAUAUGACAUGCUAUUCUAUAAAAUAAUAUAUCUGUAAUUAAUAUUACCUGAUUAAGCUAAUCAGGUAAAUAAUUAACUAGAAAGUCG